AGAGUUUGAUCAUGGCUCAGGAUGAACGCUGGCGGCGUGCCUAACACAUGCAAGUCGAACGAAGCGCUUUUCCGGAACUCUUCGGAGGGAAAGGGAAGUGACUGAGUGGCGGACGGGUGAGUAACGCGUGGGCAACCUGCCCCAUACAGGGGGAUAACAGCCGGAAACGGCUGCUAAUACCGCAUAAGCGCACGGGACCGCAUGGUUCUGUGUGAAAAACAAUAGUGGUAUGGGAGGGGCCCGCGUCUGAUUAGCCAGUUGGCGGGGUAGAGGCCCACCAAAGCGACGAUCAGUAGCCGGCCUGAGAGGGCGGACGGCCACAUUGGGACUGAGACACGGCCCAAACUCCUACGGGAGGCAGCAGUGCCGCAUAUUGCACAAUGGGGGAAACCCUGAUGCAGCGACGCCGCGUGGACGAAGAAGUAUUUCGGUAUGUAAAGUCCUAUCAGCAGGGAAGAAGAAAUGACGGUACCUGACUAAGAAGCCCCGGCUAACUACAUGCCAACAGCCGCGGUAAUAC
rnacentral:rRNA from 1 species